rnacentral:rRNA from 1 species
AGCGAACGCUGGCGGCAGGCCUAACACAUGCAAGUCGAGCGCCGUAGCAAUACGGAGCGGCAGACGGGAGAGUAACACGUGGGAACGUACCCUUUGGUUCGGAACAACCCAGGGAAACUUGGGCUAAUACCGGAUAAGCCCUCACGGGGAAAGAUUCAUCGCCGAAGGAUCGGGCCGCGUCUGAUAGCUAGUUGGUGGGGUAAGGGCCCACCAAGGCGACGAUCGGUAGCUGGUCUGAGAGGAUGAUCAGCCUCACUGGGACUGAGAUACGGCCCAGACUCUUACGGGAGGCAGGAGGGGGGAAUAUUGGCCAAUGGGCGCAAGGCUGAUCCAGCCAUGCCGCGUGGGUGAUGAAGGCCCUAGGGUUGUAAAGCCCGUUCGGCGGGGAAGAUAAUGACGGUACCCGCAGAAGAAGCCCCGGCUAACUUCGUGCCAGCAGCCGCCGUAA